UGGGGAAUAUUGGACAAUGUGGGAAACCGUGAUCCAGCAAUGCCGCGUGAGUGAUGAAGGCCUUAGGGUUGUAAAGCUCUUUUACCAGGGAUGAUAAUGACAGUACCUGGAGAAUAAGCUCCGGCUAACUCCGUGCCAGCAGCCGCGGUAAUACGGAGGGAGCUUGCGUUGUUCGGAAUUACUGGGCGUAAAGCGCGCGUAGGCGGAUUGAUCAGUCAGGGGUGAAAUCCCGGGGCUUAACCCCGGAACUGCCUUUGAUACUGUCUGUCUAGAGGUCGAGAGAGGUGAGUGGAAUUCCGAGUGUAGAGGUGAAAUUCGUAGAUAUUCGGAGGAACACCAGUGGCGAAGGCGGCUCACUGGCUCGAUACUGACGCUGAGGUGCGAAAGCGUGGGGAGCAAACAGGAUUAGAUACCCCCGUAGUCC
rnacentral:rRNA from 1 species